rnacentral:lncRNA from 1 species
AAAAGAAAGAAAGAAAGAAAGAAAGAAAGAAAGAAAGAACUGAAUCCAACAGAGCCACCGAAUAACUCCUACCCCUCGUACGUUAUCAAUCCCACUCAAAAUUCAAAAGCAUCCAAUUUUCGGUAAUUUACGAGCCCACACGCUAAGAAAAAAGUUUGAUUGAUUGAGUUGAACGCAUGGUAGGCCCCAUGCUUUCAGAUUCUCGCAUCUAAAUGGAUGAUUGAAACUAACAAGACCCCACGAACAGUACCGAGUUCACUCAGCUGUCCCCCCUGAAAUAUGCUCUCCGUCUCCGCGGUUUACUCGCAAAUAAAAUUCCAUUGGCUCUGCUCACCUCACGUACAUUUUUGCUUUUUCAUCAUAACAUCGAAUCAUUUCAACGCCCAGGCUCCAAAAUAAUAAUAAUAAAUCCAAUACCAACGGGCUCUCUUAGUGCGAGCCUCAGGAAAUUUUAAAAAUCUGGACUAGGAAAUUUCAAUUGAUAUUUUUUCCCAAUCGCUCUAGAAAGUAGAAAGUAAGCAAUGUUCUUAGCUUUCUUCUUGAUUUUUUUUUUCCAUUUUUCAUCAAUAAUAGUGACAGAUAAAGACGUAGUAUAUAAGUUAAUGUGUCAACAUACUGUUAGAUGAUGCUUAAUAAUGACAGGAAUAACAAUUUUUAUGUAUAUAAAUUAACGCGUCAACAUUCUAUUAGUUGGAUAAUUAUUAAAUUGGCUCACUUCACUGAGAUGCUUGUUUUUUUUUUUUUUUAAUUUGAAAUCUGAAUUUAAUUUUUUUUAGGUAUUUGUUUAUUUUUAAAUUGUUUAUUUUUUAAUUUAUCACUUAUUAUUAGCAAUUUUAUCUAAAUAAAAAGUAGAAAAUAAUUCACUUUUAUCUGAAGUCCGAAGUGUAAAUGAAAAAUUUUAAUUUCAAAUUUAAAAAAUACCCUUAACAAUUAAUGUAUUUUCCAAUAUUAUGUAUAAACCUUAUAUUUUUGUAUUAUUCUUGAAGUUAGUUUUUUUAAUUGCUUUAAAUUUUUAUUCACAUGAUAACAUUAACUAAGCUGAAAUAUUGAACAAAUCAAAUUAUGUUAAUUGUGAUGAAUCAAAAAUAAAAUAACAGUGUUGAUUUUAUAAUAAAAUUUGAUGUUAUAAUUACAUCUUUAAUUAAAAAAUUGAAUUAAGAUCAACAAUGAUAGUAUUUUUUUAAUGUUACCAACCUGUGAAAAUUAUAAAUUGUGAAGAACAAAUAUAUGCACUGCUUAAAAAGAUAUUUAUGUCAAACUACUAACUUUUAAGUUUUUUUCUUCAGAUGAUGAAAAAUAAAAAAACAAUCAUGUCAUUCAGACAUUUUUAUUCAGACCUCAUCUAAAUUAAGAUCUAUUCAAAUUUCAGAUUAAAAAUAAACGCAACCGAAUUACAUUAAGUUUAAAUGAGUUAUGCUUUAAUGUGAACGACUUGACUUUUUUUUUUUUUUUUAAUUGUCUUUGAUAUUCUUUGUUUGUGAAUUGUAAUUAGGGAUGGCAAUGGGCACCGCCCGCAGCGGGUUUGCCAUUACCAAACCCAAACCCGCACAAAAUUUAAAUUACCAAACCCACCCGCAACCCGCAGCGGGUUUUAAUUUUUUUACAAAAACCCACCCGCAGCGGGUUUUAACAAUUACCAAACCCGCAAUGGUAUCCGGCGGAUUUUUUGCGGGUUUUCGUAUUUAAAAUCACAAAUGUUUAAUAU